rnacentral:rRNA from 1 species
CAGCAGCCGCGGGAAUACGUAGGGUGCAAGCGUUAAUCGGAAUUACUGGGCGUAAAGCGUGCGCAGGCGGUUAUAUAAGACAGAUGUGAAAUCCGGGCUCAACCUGGGAACUGCAUUUGUGACUGUAUAGCUAGAGUACGGCAGAGGGGGAUGGAAUUCCGCGUGUAGCAGUGAAAUGCGUAGAUAUGCGGAGGAACACCGAUGGCGAAGGCAAUCCCCUGGGCCUGUACUGACGCUCAUGCACGAAAGCGUGGGGAGCAAACAGGAUUAGAGACCCCCGUAGUCCCUGUCUCUUAUACAC